rnacentral:rRNA from 1 species
UACGAAGGGGGCUAGCGUUGUUCGGAAUCACUGGGCGUAAAGGGCGCGUAGGCGGCCGAUCAAGUCGGGGGUGAAAGCCUGUGGCUCAACCACAGAAUUGCCUUCGAUACUGUUUGGCUUGAGACCGGAAGAGGUAAGUGGAACUGCGAGUGUAGAGGUGAAAUUCGUAGAUAUUCGGAAGAACACCAGUGGCGAAGGCGACUCACUGGACACAUAUUGACGCUGAGGUGCGAAAGCGUGGGGAGCAAACAGG